CCUGGAGGGACUUGUGCCUCUCUCAGUGGUAGUAGAGGGGCUACUUCUUCCUGCCACGGUCAUGAUUGAGAGGCAAUGGGUGGCGAGCCUACAGGGGACGUCGUCGAGGAGACAUGGGAUAACUUUAAGGGAGAAGGGUUUAAGGAGUGAGAGCAGAGCCAAGUCCUGGAGACGCUGAACUUGCUGUCGCACCGGAAAACGAGAUGUGCGGGGUAGGGGGCAGGGACAAGGUGGAAAAGGACUACUCGGAUCAUUUUUAAGAUGGGAGAGUAGCCACAGAGGAACAGAGUAAGAAUCUAAACGAAGUAAAGCAGUACGGGCGUACAUUUCUUUACAUAGUGUUCUACUUCAGGGCACAGGAAAAGUUACAGAAUGACAAAAGAGAAACUCCUGGAGGGCAGAGCUGUGUCUGCCAUCUUCAUCAUUGCAUUACCACCACCCAGCACAGUGCCUGGCACAAAAGAGUUGCUCAAUAAAUAAAUCAGGAUGAAUGAAUAAACACAUGGAUAGGCACUUUGAACUACAGAUGAGUUUAAAUACUUUGUGUUUUUCUUAGUCAAACAUGUGCAAUUAAGCAUGUGAUAAAUGAUAUGAUGACCACA
rnacentral:lncRNA from 10 species